rnacentral:sRNA from 1 species
GAGUUUCCGGCGGAACAACCUCCUCCCUGUUCCUUCGGAAUUGACCGGCCCCUCCUCCUCCCAAAGGCCGGUCAUCCCAAAACGACACCCGCCGAACCUCCUCCCUCGGCGGGUGUUGUUU